GACGAACGCUGGCGGCGUGCUUAACACAUGCAAGUCGAACGGUGAAGGGAUCAGCUUGCUGGUUCUGGAUGAGUGGCGAACGGGUGAGUAACACGUGAGUAACCUGCCCCCUUCUUUUGGAUAACCGCAUGAAAGUGUGGCUAAUACGGGAUAUUCUGCGCCUGCUGCAUGGUGGGUGUGGGAAAGAUAUUGUUUCGGUGGGUGAUGGGCUCGCGGCCUAUCAGGUUGUUGGUGGGGUGAUGGCCUCUCAAGGCGGUGACGUGAAGCCGGCCUGUGAUGGGGGACGGUCACACUGAGACUGAGACACGGCCCAGACUCCAACGGGAGGCAGCAGUGGGGAAUAUGACACAGUGGGCGCAAGCCUGAUGCGGCGACGCCGCGAGAGGGAUGGAGGCCUUCGGGUUGUGAACCUCUUGCGCCAGUGAAGCAGGCCUGUCCCUUGUGGGUGGGUUGACGGUAGCUGGAUAAGAAGCGCCGGCUAACUACGU
rnacentral:rRNA from 1 species